AGCGAACGCUGGCGGCAGGCCUAACACAUGCAAGUCGAACGAACUCUUCGGGGUUAGUGGCGGACGGGUGAGUAACACGUGGGAACGUGCCCUUAGGUUCGGAAUAACUCAGGGAAACUUGUGCUAAUACCGAAUGUGCCCUUCGGGGGAAAGAUUUAUCGCCUUUAGAGCGGCCCGCGUCUGAUUCGCUGGUUGGUGAGGGAAUGGCUCACCAAGGCGACGAUCAGUAGCUGGUCUGAGAGGAUGAUCAGCGACAUUGGGACUGAGACACGGCCCAAACUCCUACGGAAGGGAGCAGAGGGGAAUCUAGCGCAAUGGGCGAAGGCAUGACGCAGCCAUGCGGGGUGAAUGAUGAAGGUCUUAGGAUUGUAAAAUUCUUUCACCGGGGACGAUAAUGACGGUACCCGGAGAAGAAGCCCCGGCUAACUACGUG
rnacentral:rRNA from 1 species